rnacentral:rRNA from 1 species
GACGAACGCUGGCGGCGUGCCUAAUACAUGCAAGUAGAACGCUGAAGAGAGGAGCUUGCUCUUCUUGGAUGAGUUGCGAACGGGUGAGUAACGCGUAGGUAACCUGCCUUGUAGCGGGGGAUAACUAUUGGAAACGAUAGCUAAUACCGCAUAACAAUGGAUGACACAUGUCAUUUAUUUGAAAGGGGCAAUUGCUCCACUACAAGAUGGACCUGCGUUGUAUUAGCUAGUAGGUAAGGUAACGGCUCACCUAGGCGACGAUACAUAGCCGACCUGAGAGGGUGAUCGGCCACACUGGGACUGAGACACGGCCCAGACUCCUACGGGAGGCAGCAGUAGGGAAUCUUCGGCAAUGGGGGCAACCCUGACCGAGCAACGCCGCGUGAGUGAAGAAGGUUUUCGGAUCGUAAAGCUCGGUUGUAAGUCAAGAACGAGUGUGAGAGUGGAAAGUUCACACUGUGACGGUAGCUUACCAGAAAGGGACGGCUAACUACGUG